rnacentral:rRNA from 1 species
AUUGAAUGCUGGCGGCAGGCCUAACACAUGCAAGUCGAGCGGAGCGGCGGACGGGCGAGUAAUGCCUAGGAAUCUGCCUGGUAGUGGGGGAUAACGUACGGAAACGGGCGCUAAUACAGCAUACUAUCAGAUGAGCGUAGGUGGGAUUAGCUAGUUGGUGGGGUAAAGGCCUACCAAGGCGACGAUCCGUAACUGGUCUGAGAGGAUGAUCAGUCACACUGGGACUGAGACACGGUCCAGACUCCUACGGGAGGCAGCAGUGGGGAAUAUUUGACAAUGGGCGAAAGCCUGAUCCAGCCAUGCCGCGUGUGUGAUGAAGGUCUUCGGAUUGUAAAGCACUUUAAGCUGGGAAGCGUUACCAACAGAAUAAGCACCGGCUAACUACGUGCCAGAAGCCGCGGUAAUAC